rnacentral:rRNA from 1 species
GACGAACGCUGGCGGCGUGCUUAACACAUGCAAGUCGAACGGAAAGGCCCUGCUUUUGUGGGGUGCUCGAGUGGCGAACGGGUGAGUAACACGUGAGUAACCUGCCCUUGACUUUGGGAUAACUUCAGGAAACUGGGGCUAAUACCGGAUAGGAGCUCCUGCUGCAUGGUGGGGGUUGGAAAGUUUCGGCGGUUGGGGAUGGACUCGCGGCUUAUCAGCUUGUUGGUGGGGUAGUGGCUUACCAAGGCUUUGACGGGUAGCCGGCCUGCGAGGGUGACCGGCCACAUUGGGACUGAGAUACGGCCCAGACUCCUACGGGAGGCAGCAGUGGGGAAUAUUGCACAAUGGGCGGAAGCCUGAUGCAGCAACGCCGCGUGCUGGAUGACGGCCUUCGGGUUGUAAACCGCUUCCGCCUGUGACGAAGCGUGAGUGACGGUAAUGGGUAAAGAAGCACCGGCUAACUACGUG